CUCUCAGGAGAGCGGCUCCGUGAGGAGGCAGCAGCUCCCCUGGGUGCUCGUGACUGUGCCUCUGUGAGAGGACGCGGAGAUGAGCAAGAAGCAAGAGAAGAAGGACAACUCCCAGCCCGACACAGGGCUGCCACGCGUGCGGGAUCGCCGCCAGGUGCGGGCCGGGACCGGAAGGCCGGCCUUCCAAGUAGACUACACAGGGGACGCUGGUGGCAACUUCGCCACCUCCAUCCCACGCCUCCUUCUCCCCGCAGUUGGGCCGCAUGGGGCCACGAGUGGUGCCGCCGGGCAGCCGGAGCCCGGGCUCGGCCCUCAAUGGCGCCCGUCUGCCGCCACUGCCCGGCCCGGAGAGCUCGCGGGCCUCUGGGAGCCGCCGCGCACAGGCGGACCAAAGACAGGCGCUGCCAUCCUUGCUGCCUCGCCCAAGGCAGGCAACGAUGCCGGCAGCUGCACCCCGGCGUGCAGCACCAUCUUCUAACGUUCCCAAGCUGCCUGCUCUGCAAGCAGCAGCCUCCUCCGCAUCUUCUGCAAGUGGAAGAGCAGGUGCCAUGGGCAUUAGAGAGAGCAGGCUCCCAGAGCUUGCCCCAAGGCCUCAGGGAACCUUGCGUGUCCAGGACAGGGCAGCAAGAGCUGAGAGCCGGGGUCCAGUUCUGGAAGUCUCCUCAACCGUUCUUGUGCCUCCGCAUGCCAGACCCAAGCAGAGCUACGUGGUGUCCCUGGGCUGUGCUGCAGCCGGAAGCCCGAGAAUCGGAGUGCAGCUGACAGUACCGGGGCACCACGCAUCCACCAGCAGGCUGAGAACACCAGCAAGAUCAGCCCAGGUGCUGGCCACCAAGGCUGGUGAGAUCCCUGCAGCUUGGACAGGUGCUCAGGAGGGCACCAGAGACACUCGUUCGGCUGCUACACCAUGUUUUGUAUCGGCUCAGAAGGGCGCAGAAGAACAGGCAGGAGGCAAAGAGCGGGACAAGGAGCCCCUGUCCACAUCAGUGCCUGAGGAUGCAGGCAGCUCAGCUUCACCCAGGGCUGCACACUCUCCAGGGGAGGACAAUAAUACAAUGCUCUUCCCGAGAGCGUGUGAGGGAGGAGAAAGAGGAGGAGCUGGUACCACCAUGCCUGAAUUCUCCACACAAGCUCUGGGAGUAGUGCCGAGAUUGCAAGGUCCCAGACAGAUCAACCCGGAGGCCAGUGGAUAUUCUCCAGUUCACCCAGCUAUCCGGAGAAUUUGUGAUGAGGAGGGAAAGGAGCAAAUGUCCAGCUGGAACAUCUCCUGGCCCGACAAUGUGAGCACGCUCAGGCUGCUGAGACCGGAAGCAGCUGAUGACAGUGCCAGUGCUGCUGGCACUGCUCAGGGAAUGCUGGGCCUUCAAACCAUGACCUCGAAGGUGGAGGGCCAGAUUCCUGUCUCGGGUGAUUCCCAAAUGAGGGAUGUUGGAGUGCAGGUUGAGCUGCAAGAAUUAGAAGAGACCGCUGAGAGAGAAUCUACAGGUGACCUGUCGAGCACAUCCCUUUCCUCUUCUGAUGAGGCAGACGCCAUGCGUUCAGCGUCUCUUCUGGCCACAGAACCUGGGCCUGGAGGACGCCUUGAGCCUUUGCCCACAUCAGUGCCUAGAGGUACGGAAAACACAGAUUCUUUCGAGACUGCACAUUGUCCAGAGGAGGCCAAUACAGCACCACUCCUCCUGUCAGCGUGCGAGGGAGGAGAAAGAGAAGUAACUGCUAUGACCAUGCCUGAAUUGUCCACACAAGCUCUGGGAGAAGCACCACGAUUGCAAGAUCCUAGAGAGACCUAUGGGGAGGCCCAUGAAUAUUCUCCAAUUUUCCCAGCAAUUAACAGAAUUCAGGAUGAGGCAAGGAAGGAGCAGAUGUUGUCUAGCUGGAACAUCUCCUGGCCAAACAACGUGAGCACACCCAGGCUGCUGAGACCCCAGGCAGCUGAUGACAGUGCUAGUGCUGCUGAUGCUGCUCCGGGCAUGUUUGACAUCUGCACCACAUCAAGGAUAGAGGGUCAGCUUCCUCCUUCUAGUGAUUCCCAAACGCGGCAUGAUGGAGUACAAGAUAUCCAGCAUGAUUUGCAACAGAGCAGUGAGACAGAAACCGCAGGACCGUCAUCCGCUGACCCGUGGAGAGCAUGCCUUGCCCCAUCUGAUGAGGCAGAAGCAGUGCCUAGCACUUCUCAUCAGGAUGUGGGUCACUGGCCCGCAGGACAACUUGAGCCUUUGCGUGCAUCAGUUCCUGAAGAUGCAGAAAAUUCAGGCUCUUCCAAGGCAGUGCCCUCUCCGGUGCUGGCCAUUGAAGCACCCUUCUUCCUAUCUCUGUGCUUAAGAGGAAAAAUAGAAGGAAGAGUUUUGGCCAUGCCUGAGUACUCCAGAACAGCUCUGGGGCACUCACCAAGACGGCGAGAUCCCAAAGAAAUCUAUGGGGAAGCCUACAGAUAUCCUACAACUCACCCAGCAAUCCAGAGAAUUCGCGAUGAGGCGAGGAAGGAGCGGAUGAUGUCCAGCUGGAAGGCGUCCUGGCCAAACAGCGUGAGCAUGCCCAGGCUUCCCGUGCCCCGAGCAGCAGGUGACGGUGCCAGUGCUGCCGCCAGUGCUCGGGGCAUGCUGGACGUCCGCUCCACGACAUCGAGGGUGGAGGACCGCUUUCCUGCAUCUCGUGAUUCCCAAAACCGUGAAGAGGAAGAGACCUCCGACAGCACUGCCAGCGAUACCAGCAGUGAUGACAGCAUGCUGGAUGACAGAGACAGCGCCAUGAUGGCUGAGAGCCUGCACGUGCCCUCCUGUUUUUGCUAUGGUAUUGUGGAGGGUGUGGAAGAAGAAAGGGAAAGCAACUGUAGGGAAGAUGCUGCAGAGGCAGCCAGAGUGGCACCAAGCAUUUCUGGUUCCUCGUCUGGUGAGGUGAAGACCAGGCCUUCAGCUUCCCCUGUGGCUGCAGAUCCCAGACCUGUGAGGCAGUCGUCCACAUGCGAGGGAGCAGAAGCUGCAGCCUGUCAGCAGGAGGAUUCUGCAGAGGCCAGAGAAGAUGCGCAGAGCUCCA
ensembl:lncRNA